rnacentral:rRNA from 1 species
CCGCCGGGGGGCAUCCGCUCCCGGGCCCGCGCCCGCCGAAGACACCAAUGAACUCUGUCUGAAGAUUGCAGUCUGAGCAGAUUAGCUAAAUCAGUUAAAACUUUCAACAACGGAUCUCUUGGUUCCGGCAUCGAUGAAGAACGCAGCGAAAUGCGAUACGUAAUGUGAAUUGCAGAAUUCAGUGAAUCAUCGAGUCUUUGAACGCACAUUGCGCCCCCUGGUAUUCCGGGGGGCAUGCCUGUCCGAGCGUCAUUGCUGCCCUCAAGCACGGCUUGUGUGUUGGGCUCCGCCCCCCGGCUCCCGGGGGGCGGGCCCGAAAGGCAGCGGCGGCACCGCGUCCGGUCCUCGAGCGUAUGGGGCUUCGUCACCCGCUCUGUAGGCCCGGCCGGCGCCCGCCGGCGACCCCAAUCAAUCUAUCCAGGUUGACCUCGGAUCAGGUAGGGAUACCCGCUGAACUUAAGCAUAUCAAUAAGCGGAGG